GGGGAUGAUCGGUUUCGACUGGGGAUGUCGAAGCAGGGGAAGCGAGCCGAGGAAGCGGCAAUGAUCUCGUUAACCAUAUGUCGCAACCAAUAAUCGCCAACACCAAGCGCGAUUCCUUCGCCCUCGCUGCCUAAGUAGCGACUUGCGAAGUGUCAGCCCGGGGGUGAUCCCGACCCGGAUCCUGGCAUCAUCAAGGGAUCUAAACUUCUAGGACCGGUCACGGGUCCUGGAAGGAAAUCAAACAGUGACUGGGCCCGUCGGCGGCUUGUCCGCGUGACUGCCGGGGCCGAGAAAAGCACAGCGGACUGCGCUCGGAGAAGCCCUGUUUCCGCACCACAGGACGCGGGUUCGAUUCCCGCCAUCUCCACUC
rfam:Streptomyces paucisporeus strain CGMCC 4.2025 genome assembly, contig: Ga0079900_102